AUCAAGCUGACGAAUCCCGAUUAGGACGAAACGCGCGUCCAGGAU
rfam:Schistosoma mansoni strain Puerto Rico chromosome 6, complete genome